rnacentral:pre_miRNA from 1 species
ACAUGCCUCUAGUUUGUGCCUGAAUCCAACGCCAUCACAGCCGUUAAUCACUGUCCAAAAACGGAACAUAACCCCAUCUAAUGGUGUUAGAUUCACGCACAAACUCGUGAUAUCUCU